GGGUGAACAUUGUCGGCACAUCUUUCUAUGGAAAGAUGUUGAAUAUUUCAACACCCUAUAGGAAUCUUACAUAAUUCUUACUUAGGUAUCUUAAAUUUUUUUUUUGAAUUUUUUAGUAACAAUCUAUCACACACUUGUAGUUCAAAUUUGAAUUACUUUUCAGAAAUCGCUAGAAAUUCAUUUAAAUGGGGUAAAGUAUCAAUAUAGCUAUAAAAUUUAAAGCCCUUGGACACAGCCAUUUUAAUACGUUCUACUUUGUGUGAAAAUUGUAUAGGUGCCAUUUUGAACCAUAAAUAUUGUACUUGCUUCACAAAAUACUACAUUUUUGCAUUGAAAAAAUGGAAAAUCAUUUUUCCUGAGAAAGACCGUGUUA
rnacentral:lncRNA from 1 species